UCCGAGGUCGUCUAACGGCAGGACACCUCCCUUUGAAGGAGGUUAUUCUGGUUCGAAUCCAGGCCUCGGAA
rnacentral:tRNA from 1 species